UCUGACUUGAAACUGCUGAGUGCGCUGUAGCCUGUAUGCGACUGACACUUCAGUACGUUGGUAUUUAGUCUAUUCUGAGGCUGUAUGGUCAAUGAUCUUUGCCUGUCCUGAGAGGAAUUAAAAAACAAUAUUAGUCUAUUGUCUGGUACUACUCUCUAGUAUAGUGUACAAUCUAUGGGUACUGCAGUGGUAAAAAUAUGAGUUUCGUAAUUGUGGAGAAAGAAGGACUCUAUUCUAUUGUUGUUAAACAUGGCAGAUAAAUAUAGAAAGUGUGUGAAGUGUGGUGUAUCUGCUGCGUAAGACCCACUUACUUUUCAUUCUUUCCCGAGAGCUGGAAAGGCAUCUAAUUUAGCAAGUGGUUGAAAGUUGAAAAUAUUGCUGAAGUGGAGUUGAAAGACUUGCACAAGAGCCAUAAGUUAUUGUGUAGUAAGCAUUUUGAUCGCAGUGCCUUCACGAAUGAGACGAUGAAAAGGUUAAAUCCUAAUGCUGUUCCAAAUUUGUUGUUCCCACCAUUAUUAGCGGAAUUGUCACAAAUGGAAGAUUCAGCGAGAACUUCAGUGUCUUCGCAAUCUUUUACACAAUAUCUGCCUAACUCGCCUCUAAAAGGUCAAACACUGCAAUUGGACAUUACUUUUGUGACUCAACCUGUCAAUUUGAAGAACACAAAAAAGGCAAAAAUUCUGCAGCAAGUAGAAAAUCGCUAUUAGACUCUCUCUCAAAGAGUGAGUACUUAGAAAAAUUAAAUGAAAAUUUAAAACCUGCAUUUGGUGUGCUUUUACAAAGCCAAAUGGUUAAUACACCUAGAAAAUUAAAUGGUCGUUGCUGGACUCCAAAUGAAAAAAUCAUAGCACUGGCUAUGUAUAAAAAAUCCAGUGCAUGCUAUAGAUUGCUCAGAAGAUUGUUUUGCUUGCCAAACCCUGGUACUUUAAAAAGUCUUUUAAAUUAAGUAAAUUUACCUUGUGGAAUUGACAGUAAAGUUAUGGCAAAUUUAAAGGAAAUUACACUAACACAGUCAAAAACUGAUAAUUUGUGUACAUUAAUGUUUGACGAGAUGGCAAUUCGAAAAAUAAUCGUAUGUUAUAUAAUCCAAGAACAGACAAGAUUGAAGGAUACCAGGAUCAUGGUUCCCAAGGUAGAAGCCAACAAAUAGCAUCACAUGCAUUGGUUUUUAUGUUGGUAGGAUUAAGAAAAAGGUGGAAGCAACCAAUAGCCCACUAUUUCUCAGGAGAAUCGGUAACAGCUGAUAGACUUCAAGCAAUUAUUAAAGAGGUAUUGUCAGAAUGCUACUUAAACAAUUUAAUAGUUGUAGCAACAGUGUGUGACAUGGAUGGAGUAAAUGUAAGAGCCAUAAAUUCCCUAGGGUCCACACUCAGUGGCGUGCCUAGGGUUUUGAGUUUUAGCAAGCCCAGUUACCUAAAGGACAAAUUUAACUCGUCAUGAUCUCUAAGUCACCAUUCUUGUUGUGAUAAAUGA